rnacentral:rRNA from 1 species
GACGAACGCUGGCGGCGUGCUUAACACAUGCAAGUCGAACGGAAAUGCCCUGCUUUUGUGGGGUGCUCGAGUGGCGAACGGGUGAGUAACACGUGAGUAACCUGCCCUUGACUUUGGGAUAACUUCAGGAAACUGGGGCUAAUACCGGAUAGGAGCUCCUGCUGCAUGGUGGGGGUUGGAAAGUUUCGGCGGUUGGGGAUGGACUCGCGGCUUAUCAGCUUGUUGGUGGGGUAGUGGCUUACCAAGGCUUUGACGGGUAGCCGGCCUGGGAGGGUGACCGGCCACAUUGGGACUGGGAUACGGCCCAGACUCCUACGGGAGGCAGCAGUGGGGAAUAUUGCACAAUGGGCGGAAGCCUGAUGCAGCAACGCCGCGUGUGGGAUGACGGCCUUCGGGUUGUAAACCGCUUUCGCCUGUGACGAAGCGUGAGUGACGGUAAUGGGUAAAGAAGCACCGGCUAACUACGUG